AACGAACGCUGGCGGCAUGCCUAACACAUGCAAGUCGAACGAGACCUUCGGGUCUAGUGGCGCACGGGUGCGUAACGCGUGGGAACCUGCCCUUAGGUUCGGAAUAACUCCCCGAAAGGGGUGCUAAUACCGGAUAAUGUCUUCGGACCAAAGAUUUAUCGCCUUUGGAUGGGCCCGCGUUGGAUUAGCUAGUUGGUAGGGUAAAAGCCUACCAAGGCGACGAUCCAUAGCUGGUCUGAGAGGAUGAUCAGCCACACUGGGACUGAGACACGGCCCAGACUCCUACGGGAGGCAGCAGUGGGGAAUAUUGGACUAUGGGCGAAAGCCUGAUCCAGCACUGCCGCGUGAGUGAUGAAGGCCUUAGGGUUGUAAAGCUCUUUUACCCGGGAUGAUAAUGACAGUACCGGGAGAAUAAGCUCCGGCUAACUCCGUG
rnacentral:rRNA from 1 species